rnacentral:rRNA from 1 species
CCUACGGGAGGCAGCAGUGAGGAAUCUUGGUCAAUGGGAGGAAUCCUGAACCAGCCAUUCCGCGUGCCGGACGACGGCUCUACGAGUUGUAAACUGCUUUUGUACCGUGGUAAAAUGCCUUCCGUGUAGGGUUUUGAAAUUACGGUACGAAUAAGGAUCGGCUAACUCCGUUCCAGCAGCCGCGGUAAUACGGAGGAUCCGAGCGUUAUCCGGAUUCAUUGGGUUUAAAGGGUGCGUAGGUUGUUUUAUAAGUUAGCGGUGAAAUACCGAUGCUCAACAUCGGGGCUGCCGAUAAUACUGUAGGACUAGAGAGCGGAUGCAGCAGGCGGAAUGUGUAGUGUAGCGGUGAAAUGCAUAGAUAUUACACAGAACACCGAGUGCGAAGGCAGCUUGCUAGGCCGGAUCUGACACUGAUGCACGAAAGCGGGGGGAUCGAACAGGAUUAGAUACCCCAGUAGUC